rnacentral:rRNA from 1 species
AGAGUUUGAUCCUGGCUCAGGAUGAACGCUGGCGGCGUGCCUAAUACAUGCAAGUCGAGCGAACGGACGAGAAGCUUGCUUUUCUGAUGUUAGCGGCGGACGGGUGAGUAACACGUGGAUAACCUACCUAUAAGACUGGGAUAACUUCGGGAAACCGGAGCUAAUACCGGAUAAUAUUUUGAACCGCAUGGUUCAAAAGUGAAAGACGGUCUUGCUGUCACUUAUAGAUGGAUCCGCGCUGCAUUAGCUAGUUGGUAAGGUAACGGCUUACCAAGGCAACGAUGCAUAGCCGACCUGAGAGGGUGAUCGGCCACACUGGAACUGAGACACGGUCCAGACUCCUACGGGAGGCAGCAGUAGGGAAUCUUCCGCAAUGGGCGAAAGCCUGACGGAGCAACGCCGCGUGAGUGAUGAAGGUCUUCGGAUCGUAAAACUCUGUUAUUAGGGAAGAACAUAUGUGUAAGUAACUGUGCACAUCUUGACGGUACCUAAUCAGAAAGCCACGGCUAACUACGUGCCAGCAGCCGCGGUAAUACGUAGGUGGCAAGCGUUAUCCGGAAUUAUUGGGCGUAAAGCGCGCGUAGGCGGUUUUUUAAGUCUGAUGUGAAAGCCCACGGCUCAACCGUGGAGGGUCAUUGGAAACUGGAAAACUUGAGUGCAGAAGAGGAAAGUGGAAUUCCAUGUGUAGCGGUGAAAUGCGCAGAGAUAUGGAGGAACACCAGUGGCGAAGGCGACUUUCUGGUCUGUAACUGACGCUGAUGUGCGAAAGCGUGGGGAUCAAACAGGAUUAGAUACCCUGGUAGUCCACGCCGUAAACGAUGAGUGCUAAGUGUUAGGGGGUUUCCGCCCCUUAGUGCUGCAGCUAACGCAUUAAGCACUCCGCCUGGGGAGUACGACCGCAAGGUUGAAACUCAAAGGAAUUGACGGGGACCCGCACAAGCGGUGGAGCAUGUGGUUUAAUUCGAAGCAACGCGAAGAACCUUACCAAAUCUUGACAUCCUUUGACAACUCUAGAGAUAGAGCCUUCCCCUUCGGGGGACAAAGUGACAGGUGGUGCAUGGUUGUCGUCAGCUCGUGUCGUGAGAUGUUGGGUUAAGUCCCGCAACGAGCGCAACCCUUAAGCUUAGUUGCCAUCAUUAAGUUGGGCACUCUAAGUUGACUGCCGGUGACAAACCGGAGGAAGGUGGGGAUGAUGUCAAAUCAUCAUGCCCCUUAUGAUUUGGGCUACACACGUGCUACAAUGGACAAUACAAAGGGCAGCGAAACCGCGAGGUCAAGCAAAUCCCAUAAAGUUGUUCUCAGUUCGGAUUGUAGUCUGCAACUCGACUACAUGAAGCUGGAAUCGCUAGUAAUCGUAGAUCAGCAUGCUACGGUGAAUACGUUCCCGGGUCUUGUACACACCGCCCGUCACACCACGAGAGUUUGUAACACCCGAAGCCGGUGGAGUAACCUUUUAGGAGCUAGCCGUCGAAGGUGGGACAAAUGAUUGGGGUGAAGUCGUAACAAGGUAGCCGUAUCGGAAGGUGCGGCUGGAUCACCU